rnacentral:rRNA from 1 species
CCUACGGGUGGCAGCAGUCGAGAAUCAUUCAUAAUGGGGGAAACCCUGAUGGUGCGACGCCGCGUGGGGGAAUGAAGGUCUUCGGAUUGUAAACCCCUGUCAUGUGGGAGCAAAUUAAAAAGAUAGUACCACAAGAGGAAGAGACGGCUAACUCUGUGCCAGCAGCCGCGGUAAUACAGAGGUCUCAAGCGUUGUUCGGAAUCACUGGGCGUAAGGCGUGCGUAGGCUGUUUCGUAAGUCGUGUGUGAAAGGCGCGGGCUCAACCCGCGGACGGCACAUGAUACUGCGAGACUAGAGUAAUGGAGGGGGAACCGGAAUUCUCGGUGUAGCAGUGAAAUGCGUAGAUAUCGAGAGGAACACUCGUGGCGAAGGCGGGUUCCUGGACAUUAACUGACGCUGAGGCACGAAGGCCAGGGGAGCGAAAGGGAUUAGAUACCCCUGUAGUC